rnacentral:rRNA from 1 species
UACGAAGGGGGCUAGCGUUGUUCGGAAUUACUGGGCGUAAAGCGCACGUAGGCGGAUUGUUAAGUCAGGGGUGAAAUCCUGGAGCUCAACUCCAGAACUGCCUUUGAUACUGGCAAUCUCGAGUUCGGGAGAGGUGAGUGGAACUGCGAGUGUAGAGGUGAAAUUCGUAGAUAUUCGCAAGAACACCAGUGGCGAAGGCGGCUCACUGGCCCGAUACUGACGCUGAGGUGCGAAAGCGUGGGGAGCAAACAGG